rnacentral:rRNA from 1 species
UACGUAGGGGGCAAGCGUUGUCCGGAUUUAUUGGGCGUAAAGAGCGUGUAGGCGGCCAGGUAGGUCUGCUGUGAAAACUCGAGGCUCAACCUCGAGACGCCGAUGGAAACCAUGUGGCUAGAGUCCGGAAGAGGAGAGUGGAAUUCCUGGUGUAGCGGUGAAAUGCGCAGAUAUCAGGAAGAACACCCGUGGCUAAGGCGGCUCUCUAGUACGGUACUGACGCUGAGGCGCGAAAGCGUGUGGAGCAAACAGG